CUGGCAAUAACAAUAAUUAUUCAGAUUUCUAAAGCAGAUAAUUAAUAUGAAGAUUCUGAAGCAGAUAAAAUUAUAAUUAUUAUACAUAGAUGUGAAUGAAACCAGAUUUAUAUAUUUACAACAUGACAAUCCAGUAAAAUGCAAUACUUACAACACAAAAGGGUGUAGUUAAGUGACUCAGGUGUUAUGACUGAACACCACAAAGUAUAACUAUUUCAUCAGACAAGGUACUGAGCCGAUCAAGACAGUACAACAGUCUCACGUGGGAGUUUGACAUUUCGAGAUGACAGCCUUACAUGAAAUCCACCUUUCAUCUGACUGAACCAGAAGGGAUGUUUAGAAAUAAAAUUAAAAUGAAAAUUGAAAUGAAA